rnacentral:rRNA from 1 species
AGAGUUUGAUCCUGGCUCAGGGCGAACGCUAGCGGCGCGCCUAACACAUGCAAGUCGUGCGGGAAAGGGCUUCGGCCCUAGUACCGCGGCAGACGGGUGAGUAACACGUGAGCAACCUGUCCCCGGGUCUGGGAUAACCACCCGAAAGGGUGGCUAAUACCGGAUAAAGUCACCGGGCGCAAGCUCGGUGAUGAAAGGGGGCCUCUGCAUAGCAAGCUCCUGCCUGGGGAGGGGCUCGCGGCCCAUCAGCUAGUUGGUGGGGUAACGGCCCACCAAGGCUAUGACGGGUAGCCGGCCUGAGAGGGUGGUCGGCCACACGGGCACUGAGACACGGGCCCGACUCCUACGGGAGGCAGCAGUGGGGAAUCUUGGGCAAUGGGCGAAAGCCUGACCCAGCGACGCCGCGUGGGGGAAGAAGGCCUUCGGGUCGUAAACCCCUGCUCUGGGGGAAGAACCCUGAACGGGUUAAUAGCCCGUUCAGGCUGACGGUACCCCAGGAGAAAGCCACGGCUAACUGCGUGCCAGCAGCCGCGGUAAUACGCAGGUGGCGAGCGUUGCCCGGAAUCACUGGGCGUAAAGGGUGCGUAGGCGGCAGGGCAAGUCGCGGGUUAAAGCCCGGGGCUCAACCCCGGAAAGGCCUGCGAUACUGCCUUGCUUGAGGGCCGGAGAGGCUGGCGGAAUUCCCGGUGUAGGGGUGAAAUCCGUAGAUAUCGGGAGGAACACCGGUGGGGAAGCCGGCCAGCUGGACGGUUCCUGACGCUGAGGCACGAAAGCGUGGGGAGCAAACCGGAUUAGAUACCCGGGUAGUCCACGCCGUAAACGAUGGGUGCUAGGUCUGGGGAGGAAACUCUCUGGGCCGAAGCUAACGCGUUAAGCACCCCGCCUGGGGAGUACGGCCGCAAGGCUGAAACUCAAAGGAAUUGACGGGGGCCCGCACAAGCGGUGGAGCACGUGGUUUAAUUCGAUGCAAAGCGAAGAACCUUACCUGGGCUUGACAUGCCAGGGUUGUACCCCGGUGGAAACACUGGGGGAGCGUGGGUUUUUACUCACGCGCUCUGGCACAGGUGCUGCAUGGCUGUCGUCAGCUCGUGCCGUGAGGUGUUGGGUUAAGUCCCGCAACGAGCGCAACCC